AGCCAGGCUAACUCGUGCCAGCAGCGCGGUAUACGUAGGGGCAAGCGUGUCCGGAUUUAUGGGCGUAAAGCGAGCGCAGGCGGUUUUUUAAGUCUGAUGUGAAAGCCUUCGGCUCAACCGAAGAAGUGCAUCGGAAACUGGGAAACUUGAGUGCAGAAGAGGACAGUGGAACUCCAUGUGUAGCGGUGAAAUGCGUAGAUAUAUGGAAGAACACCAGUGGCGAAGGCGGCUGUCUGGUCUGUAACUGACGCUGAGGCUCGAAAGUAUGGGUAGCAAACAGGAUUAGAUACCCUGGUAGUCCAUACCGUAAACGAUGAAUGCUAAGUGUUGGAGGGUUUCCGCCCUUCAGUGCUGCAGCUAACGCAUUAAGCAUUCCGCCUGGGGAGUACGGCCGCAAGGCUGAAACUCAAAGGAAUUGACGGGGGCCCGCACAAGCGGUGGAGCAUGUGGUUUAAUUCGAAGCUACGCGAAGAACCUUACCAGGUCUUGACAUACUAUGCAAAUCUAAGAGAUUAGACGUUCCCUUCGGGGACAUGGAUACAGGUGGUGCAUGGUUGUCGUCAGCUCGUGUCGUGAGAUGUUGGGUUAAGUCCCGCAACGAGCGCAACCCUUAUUAUCAGUUGCCAGCAUUAAGUUGGGCACUCUGGUGAGACUGCCGGUGACAAACCGGAGGAAGGUGGGGAUGACGUCAAAUCAUCAUGCCCCUUAUGACCUGGGCUACACACGUGCUACAAUGGAUGGUACAACGAGUUGCGAACUCGCGAGAGUAAGCUAAUCUCUUAAAGCCAUUCUCAGUUCGGAUUGUAGGCUGCAACUCGCCUACAUGAAGUCGGAAUCGCUAGUAAUCGCGGAUCAGCAUGCCGCGGUGAAUACGUUCCCGGGCCUUGUACACACCGCCCGUCACACCAUGAGAGUUUGUAACACCCAAAGUCGGUGGGGUAACCUUUUAGAACAGCCGCCAAGUAAG
rnacentral:rRNA from 2 species